GAUGAACGCUGGCGGCGUGCCUAACACAUGCAAGUCGAACGUGAAAAUCUGACGGAGUACUUCGGUAUAAAGUUGGGUUGGAAAGUGGCGAACGGGUGAGUAACACGUAGGUAACCUGCCUCGAAGUGGGGGAUAACCAUUGGAAACGAUGGCUAAUACCGCAUGGUCCUUAUUGUACGGGAGUACGAUAGGGUAAAGCCUUGGCGCUUUGAGAGGGGCCUGCGUCCGAUUAGUUAGUUGGUGAGGUAAGAGCUCACCAAGGCGAAGAUCGGUAGCUGGUCUGAGAGGACGAUCAGUCACACGGGAACUGAGACACGGUCCCGACUCCUACGGGGGGCAGCAGUGAGGAAUAUUGCACAAUGGGGGCAACCCUGAUGCAGCAACGCCGCGUGGAGGAUGAAGGCCCUUGGGUCGUAAACUCCUUUUCUGCGGGAAGAGGAAGGACGGUACCGCAGGAAUAAGUCACGGCUAACUACGUG
rnacentral:rRNA from 1 species